rnacentral:rRNA from 1 species
AUUGAACGCUGGCGGCAUGCUUUACACAUGCAAGUCGAGCGGUAACAGGCCGCCAGGUGCUGACGAGUGGCGAACGGGUGCGUAAUGCAUCGGAACGUGCCCAGCCGUGGGGGAUAACUACUCGAAAGAGUAGCUAAUACCGCAUACGAUCUAUGGAUGAAAGCGGGGGACCGUAAGGCCUCGCGCGAUUGGAGCGGCCGAUGUCAGAUUAGGUAGUUGGUGGGGUAAAGGCUCACCAAGCCAACGAUCUGUAGCUGGGCUGAGAGGACGACCAGCCACACUGGGACUGAGACACGGCCCAGACUCCUACGGGAGGCAGCAGUGGGGAAUUUUGGACAAUGGGCGCAAGCCUGAUCCAGCAAUGCCGCGUGCAGGAAGAAGGCCUUCGGGUUGUAAACUGCUUUUGUACGGAACGAAACGGCUCUGGUUAAUACCCGGGGGUAAUGACGGUACCGUAAGAAUAAGCACCGGCUAACUACGUG